GAGGGUAUAGCUCAGGGUAGAGCACAUAUUUAACAUGCACGAGGUGCUGGGCUCAAUCCCCAGUACCUCCA
rnacentral:tRNA from 1 species